UACGUAGGCAGCAAACGUUGUUCGGAAUUACUGGGCGUAAAGAGUGUGUAGGCGGUUUCGUAAGUUUGGUGUGAAAUCUCCCGGCUUAACUGGGAGGGUGCGCCGAAAACUGCAAGACUUGAGUACUGGAGAGGAUAGCGGAAUUCCUGGUGUAGCGGUGAAAUGCGUAGAUAUCAGGAGGAACACCGGCGGUGUAGACGGCUAUCUGGACAGUAACUGACGCUGAGACGCGAAAGCGUGGGGAGCAAACAGG
rnacentral:rRNA from 1 species